UUGACACUGAUGGCUGAGUGACUGUUUGUCUCUGUGCUCCCAGUUUCAAUGGGGAAGAUUGCUGCAAUCCACUUGCUUCGUCAGUACCGGCUUCUGAUAAGGAAACUGAAAGAUUAUCAAGCUGGCUAUUCUGUCUUGUAUUCCCAGGACUCACAUUGUUAGGCUUAUUGCUGUCGGAGAUCUUUUUGUUUUGUGUCACAUUAUUGGAAACUGAGCCUGCUGCUUUGGGUUCAGAAAUUGAUGCUUCUGCAAGGUUUGAUGUCUUGGGGACAGAAUUCGGUGAUGAUUUCACUGGCAUUUUA
rnacentral:misc_RNA from 1 species